rnacentral:tRNA from 1 species
GGGGCUGUGGCUCAGUGGAAGAGUUCUGUUUUGCGUGCAGAAGGUCCUAGGUUUGAUCCCCGGCGUCUCCA